rnacentral:rRNA from 1 species
UACGUAGGGUGCGAGCGUUAAUCGGAAUUACUGGGCGUGAAGCGUGCGCAGGCGGUGAUGUAAGACAGAUGUGAAAUCCCCGGGCUCAACCUGGGAACUGCAUUUGUGACUGCAUCGCUGGAGUGCGGCAGAGGGGGAUGGAAUUCCGCGUGUAGCAGUGAAAUGCGUAGAUAUGCGGAGGAACACCCGUGGCUAAGGCGGCUCUCUAGUACGGUACUGACGCUGAGACACGAAAGCGUGGGGAGCGAACAGG